CGAACCAAACAUAGCAUAAUCGGUACACUGAAGAAUAUGUUGAUUUUUGCAAGACGUCCCUAACUCACAGAAACCGUACUUGGCAAAUUCAAAACAUAUAGGGGCAUUUUCAGAGUAAUGAAUGUGCACAUAUCGACAAUUUGGGUUAUUGCAUUUUCCUAAUAGAAAAUACCGGCAUGCAGGAAUUCGUCUGGGAUCUAAUUCAUGUGACAAAUUACAAUCUUCUGCUUUAUUACAUCGACCAUUCAAAAAUUUCGGACAUAUCGUUUUGCGGGUGGGCUCAUGCACGAAUCUGCAUGCUGCUCCCUUCCCACAAAUUCCAUUAGCAUUAUAAUAACGGCAAUAAACAGCUGAAGGUGAAUUUCCAACCUCCUUGAGAAACCUCUUCUUUUUAAGAAGAUAAGACUUAUUAUUCCAAUAUAAAUAUUUUGGACAUUGUCCCUUAGCACUAACAAAUUCCAACCACUUGGUAUCAGAUACACCGGUAAUAUACUGCAGUCCGUCAAUAGUUACUAAUUGUUUAGUACCAUCGGAUAAUCUUUGCUGGAUUUUAUUUUCGGCUAAAGUUUUGUAUUCUUUCUCAAGCUUGGCUCUGUAGCUCUCCAAAUUAGCUUUUCUCGCUUGCAAAUCAUGUUCAAGAAUAUUUUUUUUAAUCAGUUGCAUAUGUCUGUUUUUCCGUGAUACAUAGUCAGAUGUGGAUUGUUUUUCAGGUUCCUUAUUGGCAUCGUCUGCAUUCGAUGAUGUUGACGGUAUCACAUAUGGAGGGCUAGCAGCUGUCGAUUUCGAGCGAUUGGAUUUAUUGAGGAUAAAAGAAUAGUUCCUAGAAACAGAAUAGGGAUACGAACGAGUAUUCUUAUUUGCUUUAGCGGCAUCUAAAACCUGGGUAGGUUCUGCUAAAAUCAUGAGUCAAAGUUCCUCAUAAAUGGGCAUCUUACCUUUUUCAUUUUUAUAUUGAUUGAUAGCACCUAAAG